GAGCGCAACCCUUAUCGUUAGUUGCCAUCUGGUAACUGCCAGGGGACUCUAGCGAAACUGCCACCGUAAGGUGAGAGGAAGGUGGGAUGACGUCAAAUCAGCACGGCCCUUAUGUCCAGGGCUACACACGUGUUACAAUGGGGGGUACAGAGGGUCGCUACCUAGUGAUAGGAUGCUAAUCUCAUAAAGCCUCUCUCAGUUCGGAUCGGAGUCUGCAACUCGACUCCGUGAAGCUGGAUUCGCUAGUAAUCGCGCAUCAGCCAUGGCGCGGUGAAUACGUUCCCGGGCCUU
rnacentral:rRNA from 1 species